rnacentral:rRNA from 1 species
GAUGAACGCUGGCGGCGUGCCUAAUACAUGCCAGUCGAGCGAACAGACGAGGAGCUUGCUCCUCUGACGUUAGCGGCGGACGGGUGAGUAACACGUGGAUAACCUACCUAUAAGACUGGGAUAACUUCGGGAAACCGGAGCUAAUACCGGAUAAUAUAUUGAACCGCAUGGUUCAAUAGUGAAAGACGGUUUUGCUGUCACUUAUAGAUGGAUCCGCGCCGCAUUAGCUAGUUGGUAAGGUAACGGCUUACCAAGGCAACGAUGCGUAGCCGACCUGAGAGGGUGAUCGGCCACACUGGAACUGAGACACGGUCCAGACUCCUACGGGAGGCAGCAGUAGGGAAUCUUCCGCAAUGGGCGAAAGCCUGACGGAGCAACGCCGCGUGAGUGGUGAAGGUCUUCGGAUCGUAAAACUCUGUUAUUAGGGAAGAACAAAUGUGUAAGUAACUAUGCACGUCUUGACGGUACCUAAUCAGAAAGCCACGGCUAACUACGUG